rnacentral:lncRNA from 1 species
CAGCAGACCUGAGAGGAAUUGGCUGAACUAAGAUUCUGACCCGGCCCCAGGAGGGAAGCCUCCAGGCAGACAGCAACUCCCCAUCCCAGCCUCAUCAUGGCAGGCCUGGAGCAGCCACAGUGGAUGUGUUAGACACUAGGCAAGGGGAGCUGGCCAAGAGCAGAGGUCCAGGGCCGGCCAACCCUGCUUCACAAGGAAUAGGUCAGAUUGUUCCUAAGGCCAAGAUGGAAGCCAGGGGUGACAUGGAUAAUCCUU